AUUGAACGCUGGCGGCAUGCCUUACACAUGCAAGUCGAACGGCAGCACGGGUGCUUGCACCUGGUGGCGAGUGGCGAACGGGUGAGUAAUAUAUCGGAACGUACCUUAUUGUGGGGGAUAACGCAGCGAAAGCUGUGCUAAUACCGCAUAAUCCCUAAGGGGGAAAGCGGGGGACCGUAAGGCCUCGCGCAAUUAGAGCGGCCGAUACCUGAUUAGCUAGUUGGUGAGGUAAAGGCUCACCAAGGCAAAGAUCAGUAGCUGGUCUGAGAGGACGAUCAGCCACACUGGGACUGCGACACGGCCCAGACUCCUACGGGAGGCAGCAGUGGGGAAUUUUGGACAAUGGGGGCAACCCUGAUCCAGCAAUGCCGCGUGAGUGAAGAAGGCCUUCGGGUUGUAAAGCUCUUUUGUCAGGGAAGAAACAGCAGCUCUAACACAGUUUGCGAAUGACGGUACCUGAAGAAUAAGCACCGGCUAACUACGUGCCAGCCGCCGCGGUAA
rnacentral:rRNA from 1 species